GCCCAUAGCUCAGCUGGAUAGAGCAACGCCCUUCUAAGGCGUAGGUCGCACGUUUUUUUACUGUUCGGCU
rnacentral:tRNA from 1 species